rnacentral:lncRNA from 1 species
GUAAAAACCCUGAGGCACCUCAAAUUCUCCAAAACUGCUGCUAACUGGAAACAUCAUUGGCACAAGUUUUGUCUACUCAUGAGUGCAAAUAGAGCUUCUGGAAAGGAAGACAUGUAAAAGGAGUUAAUCAGAGGGCAGUCUGUACCUUCAUAUUUUUCCAACUGCACAACAAAUCCAACCAGCCUACAGUUACUGCACCAACAUCGGUUAGCUGACUGCAGAUGGGUUUCCAUCUUUACUUACCAGCUUAAUUUCACUGAGGGAACUUCUGUUGAAUGAUCAAAUUGAAAGCUUCUUAAAUGCCCAGGUAAAGUAUAUUGACCAGACACUCAACACAGCAUCCUUACUGAUGUCUUCAAAGAACUUAAGUAGACUUGUGGUGAUUACUUUUCUCCAACAUAUU